rnacentral:rRNA from 1 species
GUUUACAGCUAUACCACCCUAAACAUAUCUGAUCUCAUCUGAUCUUGGAAGCUAAAGAGGGUUGGGUUUGGUUACUACUUGGAUUAGAGAAAUAUGAAGUGACUUGCCCAAGGUUACACA